GACAAUGGGCGAGAGCCUGAUCCAGCCAUGCCGCGUGCAGGAAGACUGCCCUAUGGGUUGUAAACUGCUUUUAUACAGGAAGAAUAAGCCUUACGUGUAAGGUGAUGACGGUACUGUAAGAAUAAGGACCGGCUAACUCCGUGCCAGCAGCCGCGGUAAUACGGAGGGUCCGAGCGUUAUCCGGAAUUAUUGGGUUUAAAGGGUCCGUAGGCGGAUGAUUAAGUCAGGGGUGAAAGUUUGCAGCUCAACUGUAAAAUUGCCUUUGAUACUGGUUAUCUUGAGUUGUAUUGAAGUAGGCGGAAUAUGUAGUGUAGCGGUGAAAUGCAUAGAUACUACAUAGAACACCAAUUGCGAAGGCAGCUUACUAAGUACUAACUGACGCUGAUGGACGAAAGCGUGGGUAGCGAACAGGAUUAGAUACCCUGGUAGUCCACGCCGUAAACGAUGGAUACUAGCUGUUCGGGGCCUUGAGCUCUGAGCGGCUAAGCGAAAGUGAUAAGUAUCCCACCUGGGGAGUACGUUCGCAAGAAUGAAACUCAAAGGAAUUGACGGGGGCCCGCACAAGCGGUGGAGCAUGUGGUUUAAUUCGAUGAUACGCGAGGAACCUUACC
rnacentral:rRNA from 1 species